UUUUUAUUAUUUUUAUUUUGAGAUGGGGUCUCGCUAAGUUCCUUGGGGGCCUCGCUAAAUGCUGAGGCUGGCUUUGAGCCCGAGAACCUCCUGCCUCGGCCUCCCAAACUGUUGGUAUUAGAGGCCAGGGGCACCGUGCCGGCAGCAAUUUUUUUUUUUAAAUAUUUAUAUUUCAGUUGUACGUGGACACAGUAUCUUUGUUUUAUUUAUUUAUUUUUAUGUGGUGCUGAAGAUCAAACCCAGGGCCUUGCACAUACUAGGCGAGCACUCUCCGCUGAGCCACAACCCCAGGAGGAUCAAUUGUGUUUUAAUUGAAGAGUGAAAAGGUAGGUGUUUGUUGAAAGGGGGCGGCAAUAGUGGGAUUUGAGGCUACUGGGGUGAUAAAGCUAAUCAAAGUACUUCAAAGGGUGGUACAGUAAUACGGCUAGCAUAGGAGCCCCAGAAAGAUCGACUAGGGGCAGAUGGAGUGGGAAUCUUUGAAAGGGGAUAGUGGAGACUGGUCAAAGGUCCUGUGGAGAGAAAGAGGUGGGCUGUAAGAUAUGAAAACAGGGGUGGAGACAGUGGAGAGGAGUGUAAUUUUGCCCGAGAAACCCAGGUGCUUGGGCUCUAGAGAAUUGUAGGUGGAAGGAAGAAAUUCUAUAGAAACAGGUGAAUGGGCUGCUGAAGAUGAAAUUUAAGAAUCUAUGGAUUUCUAGAACGAUUAUCCUACUUUGGAGUUUUUUUAAUUUUAAUUUUUAGUUUUUAAUAGACCUUUAUUUUUUUAAUUUAUAUGUGGUGCUGAGAAUCGAACUUAGUGCCUCACACAUGAUAGGAAAGUGCACUACCGCUGAGCUACCGCCCCAGCCCCUGCUUUGGAGUUUUUAUC
rnacentral:lncRNA from 1 species